GUGCGCUCAGCACUGUCCACUCACUCACCCAGUGUGCGCUCAGCACCUGUCCCAGACAAGCUCUGGGUACCAACUCUGUGGCCUCAAUCUUCUCCGUGUUUCACUUCUUUCAUUGAAAGAUGCAACGAAAAUAGCAGCUGUGAUUAAAACAUCUGAAGAGAGAAAACUGACAAGGCAAACAUGCACAACAGGCUGGGGGCUAACGAGGAUGAGGACUGUGGUUGAGACAAAGACUUCCAGACCACAAAGAGGGAAAGAGGAACACCUCUCCCUGUGGGGGAUGGAGAUGCCCCCCAGAACAGAAUAUGUGCCACCUUGACCAUCAAUAGAGUAACCAUCCUCGGCCUCCUUUCUACACCAAGCUGGUGGUAGAUCCAUCCCUGUUGAAGCUGUGGGUAGGGAGAUUUGAUUAUACAGGGCAAACAUGGCCUCCAGAGAUUUACCCUGUGGCUGCCCAGAGAGAGGAGCCCUGGAGAAGAGGAGCUGGGUUAUGAGCUGAUCUUAAAAGCUGUCACCUUUUGAACAAUGCUGCUCUAGGCAAGUGUGCAGAUGUUGCUGUUUCCUUUGUCCUAAGCACGUUCUUCUAGCGGGACUCACUGGGUGCUGGAGUUGGAAUAGUUUCCUGACCCUGUGAGCUGGGCCGUGCUGAGGACAUGCCGGAAGGAAGGGUGUUUGGAAAGACUGGUCGGGCAGCUCUUAGGAGACUCUUGGCUCCCUGAUGUGCUUUAAGUCGCUGCUUCUUCUAAACUCAUUAUCCCUUCACAGCAAAGAUAUGAAGAAUUCCCUCUUGAAUAUGAAAAAAGAAUAGCCAUCCCCAUGAAUUCUCAACUCCUUCAAGUAAGUUAUUACCAUCAAUAAUAUUGAUCAUCUAAACACUUUACAUUUUUCACAAUAUUACAUUGUUCUUUUUUCUUUAAUCAGAUCUAGAAUGUUUUGCUCGUUUUUGAGACAGAAUCUUGCCCUGGCCCUGGCUGGCCUUGAACUUGGUGCCCUUCUGCCCCAACCUCCUGAGUUCUGAGAUCAGAGAUAUCCACGACAUGCCUGGUCCAGGUUCAGAAUGCAUACCCACCUUUGGAUUUUUUAAUUCAUGAGUGCAAAAGUUGGACAGAAGUCUGGGACAAGAUUUCAGGUACUGGAAGGAAAGCAGGAAGACUCAAGGACAAUGACAUCCAGAUCAAGGUCAUCCAGGUUGCUACAGGUAGAGGCAUGUGAGCGGGGUCACGUGAAGGAGAGAACGUGAGAGUCCCAAGAUAGGAAACUCGGAGAUAUUCAACAAACCUAGAAGACGAGUCAAAGCAUGGCUUCUGAGCAGGCAGCCUAGCUAGAGGACUCAGACUCCUGACAAAGCAGAUGUGGGAGUCCAGUGCGUCAACGGACCCAAGGGGGACCUGAGAAACAGCCUAGGAGACCAGAGGACAGCACAGAGCUUGGUCCUGUUCACAGAGGGAAGCAGCGACAUGUGUUUCUAAUGCAUUAUGUUGCCAGAAAACUGUCCUGUCUGCACUCUAUUGUAAUGUCCCAUAUUGCUUUAUUUAAAAUUGUGUAAUUGUGAGAGGCCCAGUCAGAACAAGGCUCCUGCUUCCCAGUCAGAAGUCUCCUCUUUCUGUCUGUUUUAAAUGUAAGUAUGGAGGGAGGCAUUAGCCUGGUAGGUGUGCUCUCCUCCACAGCAAGUAAGAACUCUGCAGGUGCCAGGGUCUGGGGCUGAGGCCCAGGCAGGGGGGAAGCUCCCUGGAGAGUUCCACAGACCCUAAAAAAGUUCCUCCACACAUCUAAAGGAGGGAAGAAAUCUCCUUCUGUCUUCCAUUGUUUCAGACUUAAUUUGAGGUUCACAAAAGGAGUGGCCAUUGGUUUCUGAGUUUUCCGUUUCUGAGUGCUAGACGUGAAUAGACAGGGAAUUGUCCUGGUGUUUAUCGAACAAAUGGGGUAUUCUCUGGUAAUAGAGGGACUUAUUUCUGUUCUGGAAAUACUCAUCCAGUGCCUUCGAGAGAUGGCUGGCCACUUGUUUAAAGAACCCGAAGAUGAGCCAAAGCCGCUAGCCGUGUUAAGGGAAUAGUUGUGGGCAGACAUCAUGAAGGGGUGGGUGGGGGCAGGUGGAUGAGGACCAGCUGCCUGCCAGGAGACACUUAAUUCAAAAUAAGAGGACUACCCACUGUACUGGAAAACAAAUGUGUUCGCAAAAUUCCUGUUCCUACCUCCUGAACCUAGCUGUUUUCAGACUUAGAAACUAGGAUUAAGAAAACAAUGCAAAGCUUAUACAGACUACAGUUUGAUCCCUUUGCAAAAUCCAGGGAAGCGUUGGCAUGUGUUUUCAAUACAUUCAGAUUUUUUUCCAAAAGACUUUUUUCUUCUUCUCUCUAUAAUGAUUAGCUCCAUGUUGCUUUAUUUAAAACUGUACAAUUCACAGGAAAAAAAAAGACUCAGGCUUGUUCCAAUGUAUGGGCCAAGUUUCUCCUGUGACAGGGAACUGGACGUACUUCCCUCUUUGUUGGUGACUCGCUCCCUCUGGGAACUUAAUUCUUAAUAAAGUGUAAGCGCUGGGGUUGCUUUUGUGUUCUUGGCUUCAAAUUACACGGCCAUGCAGCUUCUGAAAUGUUGUCCUUUUCGCCUUAUGUGCUCUCAGUAGUAACGAAGCAAAGUAGACUUACAUUCGGAGGCCUCCUUGAGUUCAUGAUCUAGAGGAAGAGGUUCUAGGGUUGCCAUGAUGAAACUCUAUUAGGAGAAAUCUCCAGGACAGACUGGAAACAAAUGUUCUUCUUACCAUGAACUCUGGAAGUGGUGGGAGGAUUUUUUUUUUUAAAGAGGAAUAUUUUAAGAGAGGCUCUGAUGAACAACUUUCACAAAAAUUUCCAUUAUUCUAAGUUAGGCAUGAUACCCAAAUCCAGCAAAAUGAGCCGACAGGGUUAAAAUUUAACUAGACAGGGCUGUAAUUCCUCAGAGCAGCAAACCCCAACUCAUGUGUAGUAAGAUUAUUUUUUUUUUUUACUAGGUUGCUGACCUAGUUUCAGACUCGCAAGCUCCAGGUCUCUAAAAGAGUAGGAAGAAAAGCUACUUACUUAUACUCUGCAGUUUAUUACACUAAUUUAUGGUCCUUCAAGUCUGGGCAGGGGAUGGGCUGUUCUUGUUUUAUUGAAGAACCUUUUUGUCCUUUGUUGGGGACGUUUCCAGCUGUUCAACAAUCGACUCUAAUAGAAUCUUAUGAAUAAAACUAAUGAAAACAUGAAGACGUGAACUCGAGAGACCAAACGUACAGUAGCUUAUUGUUCCCUCUCUGGAGAAUAGAAAUACCUUCUCUAACAAGGUACAAUGGUGCAGACAGGAACCAACACUCUGGUUUCAAUGCACAAGGCUUUCGGGGUCAGGAAGAGGCCAAUGCUGCUGACCUUAAUCGGGUCAGCCUGGCAAGCGCAAGAAACAGGACAAACAGAAAGGUAAAUGUGUUUCCACUCUGGGAUGUGGUCACUCGGUUAUUAAAAUUGUUUUAGGAGGGAAACAAAUGAGCAGGACUAGCUCUUUGUCCUCUGACCUAUCUCCAUGUGUUUUCAGAAGAAUAUAUGUAACAAGCAGGUCAUGUUCACUUUGUCACAAAGGCCAAUCCUUGGGGCGUGGUGUGUCCUUUUGAGUCUUGGGGAGUAUAAGAAAAACUGGAAAAUGGAAAGUUGUUACAACUCAAAAACCUAGAGGUUUUGUUUGCGUACUGUGCUGGCAAUGAACCCGGGCCCUUGUGCACGCUAAGCCACACAUCCCGCCUGUAUACAUGGGGGAUUGUAAUUUAAUUACAACAUUAUUUAAUACAGCAGACUUUCAAUGGGAUUGCAGUAGGACCACUUACCUAGUACUCAGUGAUGCCCACCUACAAAGUGAGAGGCUUAUGUGGCCAGUGUAUAUCCAUGUGGGUCCCCUACCCAUGUCACUGGCAGUACACAAGGUGAUUUUAGGUGGCACAUGGACACUCGCUUGAAGUUAUUUAUUUAUUUAAUUAUUGAUUGACGGAUUUUUUUUUUCUUUUCCUAAAAACAGGAUCUCACCUAGCUGAGGCUGGAGUCAAAGUUGCUCUGUAAUAAGGAUGACUUUGAAGUUUGGAUCCUCCCGAGUGCUGGGGCUCCAGGCAUGUGCUACCAACCUGGUCUAUGUGGUGCUGGGAAUCAAACCCAGGCUUCACAAAUGCCCACUAGGCCACAUCCUCAGCUCCAUUUCAGAAUUUAUUUUUCCAGCUUGAGAGCUCAGCCGUUAAAGGCUAGGCUCA